GGGGAUAUAGCUCAGUUGGUAGAGUGCUUGCCUCCCAUGCAAAAGCUGGGUUCUAUUCCCA
rnacentral:tRNA from 1 species